rnacentral:rRNA from 1 species
AUGCUCAUGCGUCGUCGUCACCUUAGGGGCCAAGGUCGCCAGCCUCGCGUGUUGGGUUGCAUACGCGUGUCUCCCGUCCCUGGCUCAAGGUGGAGGCCUAACUUGCACGCAGCUGGCCGCCAUGGCGACCCGCGCUCUGAACCCCCUCCCCGCCGAAGCCGAAAGAAAUGGGUGUGUCGUGGGGAGGAGGAGGGGGCCAUAGGAUCUCCGGAGUCGAGAGCCACGACACGGAGGCCAUGUUGCUACCGACAGCCGCCCUGCGGAGAUUCGAGGCGCCAUCGCCGCGGGUACAGGCGCGGUGGAGACCGUCAUCGCCGCCGCCGCCGUCGGCCCGUGGACUAUGACCCCUCUCUCCACACCAUAUACCGUGCCACCGCCCCUCGUCUGCGCCACCACAUCCCUGCAUACCUCCUGUUCCCGCCGGUAGAAGCCGGAGCUCCCGUGCACGGCGUGCUCUGUGCUCGUGCAGCCUACCCUCAGGCUCCGGCAGAGAGAAGAGAGGAAGGGAGGAUAAGGGCGCGGCGGUAG